UAUCGGAACGUACCAUUCAGUGGGGGAUAACGUAGCGAAAGUUACGCUAAUACCGCAUAUUCUGUGAGCAGGAAAGCAGGGGAUCGCAAGACCUUGCGCUGAUUGAGCGGCCGAUAUCAGAUUAGCUAGUUGGUGAGGUAAAGGCUCACCAAGGCGACGAUCUGUAGCGGGUCUGAGAGGAUGAUCCGCCACACUGGAACUGAGACACGGUCCAGACUCCUACGGGAGGCAGCAGUGGGGAAUUUUGGACAAUGGGGGCAACCCUGAUCCAGCCAUGCCGCGUGAGUGAAGAAGGCCUUCGGGUUGUAAAGCUCUUUCGGCCGGGAAAAAAUCGCAUGGGUUAAUACCCUGUGUGGAUGAUGGUACCGGAAUAAGAAGCACCGGCUAACUACGUGCCAGCAGCCGCGGUAAUACGUAGGGUGCGAGCGUUAAUCGGAAUUACUGGGCGUAAAGCGUGCGCAGGCGGUUUGAUAAGACAGGCGUGAAAUCCCCGGGCUCAACCUGGGAACUGCGUUUGUGACUGUCUCACUAGAGUACGGCAGAGGGGGGUGGAAUUCCACGUGUAGCAGUGAAAUGCGUAGAGAUGUGGAGGAACACCAAUGGCGAAGGCAGCCCCCUGGGUCGAUACUGACGCUCAUGCACGAAAGCGUGGGUAGCAAACAGGAUUAGAUACCCUGGUAGUCCACGCCCUAAACGAUGUCAACUAGGUGUUGGGUGGGUAAAACCAUUUAGUACCGUAGCUAACGCGAGGAGUUGACCGCCUGGGGAGUACGGCCGCAAGGUUAAAACUCAAAGGAAUUGACGGGGACCCGCACAAGCGGUGGAUGAUGUGGAUUAAUUCGAUGCAACGCGAAAAACCUUACCUACCCUUGACAUGUCCAGGAGUCCGAAGAGAUUUGGAUGUGCUCGAAAGAGAACUGGAACACAGGUGCUGCAUGGCUGUCGUCAGCUCGUGUCGUGAGAUGUUGGGUUAAGUCCCGCAACGAGCGCAACCCUUGUCGUUAAUUGCCAUCAUUUAGUUGGGCACUUUAACGAGACUGCCGGUGACAAACCGGAGGAAGGUGGGGAUGACGUCAAGUCCUCAUGGCCCUUAUGGGUAGGGCUUCACACGUCAUACAAUGGUCGGUACAAAGGGUUGCCAACCCGCGAGGGGGAGCUAAUCCCAUAAAGCCGAUCGUAGUCCGGAUCGUAGGCUGCAACUCGCCUGCGCGAAGUCGGAAUCGCUAGUAAUCGUGGAUCAGCAUGCCACGGUGAAUACGUUCCCGGGUCUUGUACACACCGCCCGUCACACCAUGGGAGCGGGUUCCGCCAGAAGUAGGUAGCCUAACCGCAAGGAGGGCGCUUACCACGGCGGGGUUCGUGACUGGGGUGAAGUCGGAACAAGGUA
rnacentral:rRNA from 1 species